UAAUGCCGGAUGCUCCAUCACACUGCAUGGUGUGUUGGGAAAGCCUUUGCGGCAUGGGAUGGGGUCGCGUCCUAUCAGCUUGAUGGCGGGGUAACGGCCCACCAUGGCUUCGACGGGUAGCCGGCCUGAGAGGGCGACCGGCCACAUUGGGACUGAGAUACGGCCCAGACUCCUACGGGAGGCAGCAGUGGGGAAUAUUGCACAAUGGGCGCAAGCCUGAUGCAGCGACGCCGCGUGAGGGAUGGAGGCCUUCGGGUUGUAAACCUCUUUUGUUAGGGAGCAAGGCAYUUUGUGUUGAGUGUACCUUUCGAAUAAGCACCGGCUAACUACGUGCCAGCAGCCGCGGUAAUACGUAGGGUGCAAGCGUUAUCCGGAAUUAUUGGGCGUAAAGGGCUCGUAGGCGGUUCGUCGCGUCCGGUGUGAAAGUCCAUCGCUUAACGGUGGAUCCGCGCCGGGUACGGGCGGGCUUGAGUGCGGUAGGGGAGACUGGAAUUCCCGGUGUAACGGUGGAAUGUGUAGAUAU
rnacentral:rRNA from 1 species